rnacentral:lncRNA from 1 species
CUAUUACCCAAAGUCCUGUGGAGCUAACAGGAACACACAAUUCCGAGGGCUCAACAGUCCCAAGGCCUGGAUGGUUCUCCUAGCAGCUGGACUCCCUGGAAUGGUUGAUUUGUUGGCCCGGUCACCAGAUAUCCUGGGACGGUGAAGAUGAGAGGAUAUGGCUCUAGGGAGCUCUUCCAGUGUUUGCCUAGGGCUGAAAAAGGAAAAUUGCACCAGGCAGUGAAGUCAGCAUGGAAGACUAUUUUUAAGACUACUGCAAUUGAGGGAUUGAAUUCGGGACCUUGUGCUUUCGAGGCAGGUGCUGGAACCACUGAGCUAAAUCCCCGGCCCCCGCCAUGAUGUUUCUGCCUCACCACGGGCUCAGAAGCAAUGAAGCCAGGUGACCAUGGACUGAAACCUCUGAAACCAUGAGCCAAAAUAAAUCUUUCCCCCUUUGCAUUGUUAUUUUCAAGUGUUUUGUCACCUGACUAACACGGGGAUCACAAGUGAGGGGAUUCUUGCUUACCUUGCUCAGCAGCCUGACAAACCAAUAAGGAGGUCUGGCUCAGAAGACUCAAGUAAAAUCUGGCUGAAGAGGGAGGGAGUCCUUGUCAGCCCCUGCCUCAUUCUACAUGCAAGACGCUGGGACUGUGUCUGUUUGCUCCUGGGAUCCCUGGCCUCCUGGACUGUGAGCUUAGGCCAGUGAUAUCUCUUUAUUUUGCAUAGUGCUGACUGUAGGUGAGUCCUUAAAGGCUGCUCACUCCCUAACACUUUGGGAGACAAAAUUGCAUUGUAGUUAAGAGCACAGGCUGGGCCGGGGAUUUAGCUUAGUGGUUCCGCAGCCUGCCUCGCAAG